UCGCAUUGUAAUUUGUAGAGGAUGAUUUGGGGAAGCCGCCUGUCUAAGUUCCUUGGAACAGGACGUCAUAGAGGGUGAGAAUCCCGUAUGUGACAGGAAAUGGCACCCUAUGUAAAUCUCCUUCGACGAGUCGAGUUGUUUGGGAAUGCAGCUCUAAAUGGGAGGUAAAUUUCUUCUAAAGCUAAAUAUUGGCGAGAGACCGAUAGCGCACAAGUAGAGUGAUCGAAAGAUGAAAAGCACUUUGGAAAGAGAGUUAAAAAGCACGUGAAAUUGUUGAAAGGGAAGCGCUUGCAAUCAGACUUGUUUAAACUGUUCGGCCGGUCUUCUGACCGGUUUACUCAGUUUGGACAGGCCAGCAUCAGUUUCGGCGGCCGGAUAAAGGCUCUGGGAAUGUGGCCUCCACUUCGGUGGAGGUGUUAUAGCCCAGGGUGUAAUACGGCCAGCCGGGACUGAG
rnacentral:rRNA from 1 species